rnacentral:rRNA from 1 species
GAUGAACGCUGGCGGCGUGCCUAAUACAUGCAAGUCGAGCGAACAGACGAGGAGCUUGCUCCUCUGACGUUAGCGGCGGACGGGUGAGUAACACGUGGAUAACCUACCUAUAAGACUGGGAUAACUUCGGGAAACCGGAGCUAAUACCGGAUAAUAUAUUGAACCGCAUGGUUCAAUAGUGAAAGACGGUUUUGCUGUCACUUAUAGAUGGCUCCGCGCCGCAUUAGCUAGUUGGUAAGGUAACGGCUUACCAAGGCAACGAUGCGUAGCCGACCGGAGAGGGUGAUCGGCCACAUUGGAACUGAGACACGGUCCAGACUCCUACGGGAGGCAGCAGUAGGGAAUCUUCCGCAAUGGGCGAAAGCCUGACGGAGCAACGCCGCGUGAGUGAUGAAGGUCUUCGGAUCGUAAAACUCUGUUAUUAGGGAAGAACAAAUGUGUAAGUAACUAUGCACGUCUUGACGGUACCUAAUCAGAAAGCCACGGCUAACUACGUG